AGAAUCACCUGGAUCAAUAAUGCUAAGGCAGCAAACCCGGAAAUAUUUUCCACAAGCUGUACCCAGAUCCACAUUAUUUCCAUUGAAGUGAUGGACUCCAAUCUUUGACAGCAUAGCAUAGUACUCAAUUUCACUCUUGCGAAGUGGUGGGCAGUUGUUUGCUAUAAUCACCAACUUCCCUUUAGAUCCCCUGAGGGAUUUGAGCACCGUCUUGUAACCAAGCGUGUACUUGCCGCUCUUCAUCACCAGCGCGAGCCGGUUAUUGAUGUUCUCGGUCGUCUUUUUCGUCUUCUUGGCGGGCGCCAUGGCUCGAGCUCGGGUGGUGAUGGAGGAGAAGAGGCACUGAAUCUGUG
rnacentral:misc_RNA from 1 species